AGAGUUUAUCCUGGCUCAGAAUGAACGCUGGCGGCAUGGAUUAGGCAUGCAAGUCGAACGUGAAUCCGGCCUUCGGGCCGGACGAAAGUGGCGAAAGGGUGAGUAACACGUGAGUAAUCUGCCCCUGAGUUCGGAAUAGCCCCGGGAAACCGGGAUUAAUACCGGAUGCGGAUGGAAACUGCAUGGUUUCCGGUCCAAAGAGUUUCGCUCGGGGAUGAGCUCGCGGCCCAUUAGCUUGUUGGCGGGGUAACGGCCCACCAAGGCUAUGACGGGUAGGUGGUCUGAGAGGAUGGUCACCCACACUGGGACUGAGACACUGCCCAGACUCCUACGGGAGGCUGCAGUCGAGAAUCUUCCGCAAUGGGCGAAAGCCUGACGGAGCGAUGCCGCGUGAGGGAUGAAGGCCUUCGGGUUGUAAACCUCUGUCAGGAGGGACGAAGAAGUGACGGUACCUCCAGAGGAAGCCACGGCUAACUACGUGCCAGCAGCCGCGGUAAUACGUAGGUGGCGAGCGUUAUUCGGAUUUACUGGACGUAAAGGGUCCGCAGGGGGUUUGCCAAGUCUGAUGUGAAAUCCUGAGGCUCAACCUCGGAACGGCAUUGGAAACUGGCGGACUAGAGUGCGCGAGGGGUGAGCGGAAUUCCUGGUGUAGCGGUGGAAUGCGUAGAUAUCAGGAAGAACACCGAUGGCGAAGGCGGCUCACUGGCGCGCCACUGACCCUCAGGGACGAAAGCGUGGGGAGCGAACAGGAUUAGAUACCCUGGUAGUCCACGCUGUAAACGUUGUGCACUAGAUGUGGGAGGUCUGAUCCCUUCCGUGUCCAAGCUAACGCGAUAAGUGCACCGCCUGGGGACUACGGCCGCAAGGCUAAAACUCAAAGGAAUUGACGGGGGCCCGCACAAGCGGUGGAGCAUGUGGCUUAAUUCGAGGCAACGCGAAGAACCUUACCUGGGUUUGACAUAUUCAGGACCGGUGUGGAAACACACCUUCCCUUCGGGGCCUGUUUACAGAUGCUGCAAGGCUGUCGUCAGCUCGUGCCGUGAGGUGUUCGGUUAAGUCCGGCAACGAGCGCAACCCGUGUCGUCAGUUGCCAGCAGGUAACGCUGGGGACUCUGGCGAGACUGCCCGUGUCAAGCGGGAGGAAGGCGCGGAUGACGUCAAGUCCGUAUGGCUCUUACAUCCAGGGCUGCACACGUGCUACAAUGGACGGUACAAUGAGAUGCGAAGUCGCGAGGCGGAGCAAAUCUCCAAAGCCGUCCCCAGUUCGGAUCGGAGUCUGCAAUUCGACUCCGUGAAGUCGGAAUCGCUAGUAAAGGCGCAUCAGCAACGGCGCCUUGAAUACGUUCCCGGGCCUUGUACACACCGCCCGUCACAUCAUGGAAGCCGGCUGCACCCGAAGUCGCUGAUCCAACCCUCACGGGAGGAA
rnacentral:rRNA from 1 species